GAGUUUUACUGCUAUCCGGUGGCUCGAUUCUCACUCAGUGGAUGUUUUGGGUGUCUUUCCGACAUCCCUGACCACAUUUCCAGUAAGGAUUUCGACGGUUACACCUAGGGUUUUGUACCUAGGGUUUUCUCUAUUGUUUGAAAGCCGAUCUUCUCCGGUCGCGAAGAAGGAGGGUAACUCUGUCCUUAUCUUGAGUAGUGUAUGCUUUGUGUGUGAUUAUCUGACUCUGUAUGUGAGUAUCUGGUGUUGUGUGUGAAUACCUGAUUUGGUUAUACUUUGUUUGUUGAAAAACUAUUUUUUUAGCCGGUUCAUUGAUUAUGGCUUCUAACACAAAUGCUGGUACUCCUCCUCUGUAGACUCUUUUAGUGUUUUGUGUGAAUACCUGAUUUGGUUAUACUCUGUUUGUUGAAAAACUGUUUUUUAAGCCGGUUCAUUGAUUAUGCCUUCUAACACAAAUGCUGGUACCUCCUCCUCUGUAGACUCUUCUAGCCCCCUUUUUGUAUAUUCUUCUGAUGUCCCUGGGGUUUCUCUUGUUCCCACUCCCUUCUCGGGUAGUGGUUAUGGGGGCUGGAGGCGUAAGAUGGUUGUUGUUUUAUCCGCUAAAAAUAAAAUCGAUUUUGUUGACGGUUCGUGUCCUCGUCCUGCCACUAAUGUGGCUCAACAGAGACUGUGGGACAGAUGUAAUAACAUGGUCAUUUCCUGGUUGACCUCCUCUCUGUCUCCUCAAAUUGCUGAUAGUGUGCAGUAUUCCGAUACUGCACAGAGUAUAUGGUCCCAAAUUGAGAAAAGAUAUGGUACCCCUAACAGGACCAAUAUUUUUGAAUUAAAAAGGGAACUUUCCCACACAUCUCAAGGCUCCUUAGACAUAGCCUCAUACUUCAACAAGCUCAAAGGCUUGUGGGAGAAUUUUUGAAUUAAAAAGGGAACUUUCCACACAUCUCAAGGCUCCUUAGAUGUAUCCUCAUACUUUAACAAGCUCAAAGGCUUGUGGGAUGAAUUGGGCACAAUGUGCACAAAUCAUGGGCAGAGAUGUGUGUGUGCUGCCAAAAAUGAAAUACUUGAGGAAGAUGAUGAAAACAAGGU
rnacentral:lncRNA from 1 species